UACAGAGGGUGCAAGCGUUAAUCGGAUUUACUGGGCGUAAAGCGUGCGUAGGCGGUUCGCUAAGUCGGUUGUGAAAUCCCUGGGCUUAACCUGGGAACUGCAGUCGAUACUGGCGGACUAGAGUACGGUAGAGGGUGGCGGAACUCCGGGUGUAGCGGUGAAAUGCGUAGAUAUCCGGAAGAACACCGAUGGCGAAGGCAACCGCCUGGGCCUGUACUGACGCUGAGGUACGAAAGCGUGGGGAGCAAACAGG
rnacentral:rRNA from 1 species